UGGGGAAUCUUGCACAAUGGGGGAAACCCUGAUGCAGCGACGCCGCGUGAGCGAUGAAGGUUUUCGAAUCGUAAAGCUCUGUCCUAUGGGAAGAUAAUGACGGUACCAUAGGAGGAAGCCCCGGCUAACUACGUGCCAGCAGCCGCGGUAAUACGUAGGGGGCGAGCGUUGUCCGGAAUUACUGGGCGUAAAGGGUUCGCAGGCGGCAUGACAAGUCCGAUGUAAAAGGCGAAAGCUCAACUUUCGUAAGCAUCGGAAACUGUCAAGCUUGAGUGUAGGAGAGGCAAGUGGAAUUCCUAGUGUAGCGGUGGAAUGCGUAGAUAUUAGGAGGAAUACCGGUGGCGAAGGCGACUUGCUGGACUUCAACUGACGCUGAGGAACGAAAGCGUGGGUAGCAAACAGG
rnacentral:rRNA from 1 species